CUAGAGGAUCUUUAAUGUCCCUUCCAACGCAAACCAUUCUGUGAUUCUAUAAUAUAAUGAAAGAAGUGUAAACAAAAUUCUAGUGAAGAGCUCAAUAGAUGUUGUUGGCAUGACUGGGAGCAGAUGGAAGUGGUUAAGGGGCUUACUUUCUAGAAAGCUGGUGUGUCCUGGGUCUUUUCCUGUUCGACAAACUCGUCAGUGACCUGGAGAAGGAGACUGAGCCCUCAUCAAGUUUACCAAUGAUGCUAAAUGAUGUGAACCACUCUUUACAGUGGAGGGAAGAGCUGACAUUCAGGGGGACCUGGAGAGGCUGCAGAAAUGGGGUGACGGGAACCCUUCGUGAAAUUCCACAAGGAUGGGUGCAGAGCCUGGUGCCUGGGAAGGAAGUGCCCCUUGAAGUCCCAGGGGCUGGGGAAUGCCAGGCUGGGGAGUGGUUCUGCUGAAAGGGGCCUGGGCCACAGCAAGAAUAAGAGCCGGCAGCAGAGAGGGACAGCAGCCUCCCAGCUGUGUGAGCAGGAGCAUGGUCACCAGAUCGACAGAAACAGCUCUGCUCUUCUCAGCCAACCACACCGAGCUGCAGAAUCCAGUCUGGGGACCUCUGAACAGCAAAGACGUUGGGCAACCACAGCAGAUCCAGUAAAGGCCACCCCAGUGUUUGGGGGCUGGAGCACUUUGCCCUGUGAGGAGGAUCUGUAGGGGUAGACCUCGUUCACUCUGAAGAAGAGAGGGCUGCUGGAGGUUGUCACAGCAGCCCCUCAGCAUCAUAAGGUCAUAAAGAACAUGGGUCCAGGCUCUCCACGUCAUGCGUGGUGGGUGGUUGAGAACAAAGGAGCACAAGUUGAAAGGGAGGUGCAGGUUGGACAUAAAUAAUACUGUUUCAUCCCACAAUCCAGCAGUGACACAGAUUGCCCAGAGGUUGUGCAUUCUCCUUCCUUGGGAGUUUUUCAAGAUCCACUGCCUGACCCUGCAUGUGGCCUUGCUGUGAGCAGCAGGUGAUUGACAUGGAGGACUGUGCUUCCAAGGAGGAUACCUGUUCAGUUUUCUUUUCUUUAGCAGCCUGUUGGACACCUUUGUGGACAUUCAGAAAACUUCUGUUUCCAGUAAAGUGGAGUAGCAACAGCUGCAUGUGUCUGCCAAUCCUAAUAACCCACUCCAAGUUACAAAAAGUGGAACCCAAAAAAUUAUCAGAGCAUUAAAGCCAUGGCAUUUCCUAUAUUUCACAUCAUUUGAAUGUGAAUAAUGAAAUCCAGCAGCCAUCACUCUUGAUGUUUAAAAAGUGUGUAUGAGUAGGUGUUGAAAAACCCAAUCAAUGCCAACACGCUGAGCCCACCAAGAAGGCAGAGAGGAGCCUGUUCAAACACAAAGCACCUACAUAAGAUGUCUGCACAGAAUCAGAGGGCACUGCUGGCAUCUACAGUGCUUUUGGACCAGAGCAUGUUGCUGUUCAUAAGCCAAAGAGGAUGGUGAAUCCACAAAACCAGACACAGCUAGACAAUGAAAGACGGUGACUGUGGCACACAGGACAAGAACUGAAAUGUAUAUUCAGGACCAUUCCCCAAUUAUUCUCAUUUUGUGAAGCCAACAGAAACCUCAGCAAUGGCCUUGCUGUGGAAAGGGAGUUUUGAAUGGCAGUUUGUUUUAUGACUCUUAAUUUAUCUCUCCUUCAGCUGUUGGUCUCAUGACUGACUCCUCCUUCCCUCUCCCACUCACACUGUGUGGCGUCAUUCUGCAACAGCUUUCCUUGCAUUUCACUGUACGCAGCCUCAUAAGUUUUACUGUGAAAUGCUUUGGCACAUAGGCAGUGAGGAAAAAUCUGUGUAACAAGCCCGAUGCCUUAGAAAUAUUUUGUGUGUUCCUCUGCAGAGGAUAGAAAGUGUAAAAACACAGGGGAAGGUAUUCUGUGGAAAAAAUGUAUUACUGUAUGUCACAUGAACGGUGUUUGAGAGCUACAAAUUCCUGCACAAAAAAUAAUAAAACGUAAUAAACACCUCUCCUGCUGGCAACCUACAUAAGAAGACACAGCUCAGCUUCCACUUGGGUUGAGGCUUGAUAAAAAAGGGUCAGGAGAAGGGGAGAAAGAGAGGAACCCUCAGACUCUUCCAAGCAGGUGGCAUCCUGCCUUUCUCAUUCGCAUGCUUGGACAGCGUGUGACAUGGGUGUCCCACAGGUAUCUCUGCAAACCCUGAGCCCACACUUGAAUGAUGCAGCAAGUGGUGAUGGACAUGCACCUGCCUGUCCCUUUCCCAGGCUUUGAUUGGAAAAAGGAGAUGCAGCUGAGGUUGAAAUGAGGCGAGAUGAUAGGAAAGAAAGUGUGGUGUGGCCAAUGGAAGCAGACCUGGGCUGCCUUUGAAGUGCCCUGAAUCUCUCAGCUGUUGUGAACACAUCUCACUCUCUCUUUGAAUGAUGGGAAGGGAGGUCAAAAGAGCUCAGUUGGAAACAACUGCCAAGGAUAGAAAAUUCUUAAAAAUUAGCAUGCCUUUUGGGAAGGAGGAAGGCAGUGCAAUUUUGAUGAGAAAGGCUGCUUUCGGUUUGGGCUUAAUCAUGCAAGGUGCUGAGUGCCUUCAGUCCUCAUUCACAUUGAUAGGAACCAACUGUCCUCACGCUACCUGGCAGGCAUGGCUGCUAGGUCAGUUCUCAUUCCCCUCUCCCCCUCAGCCUGUCACUUCACUUCCUAAAGAAUGUCUUAUUUGAUGUCAUCUGCAGCACAGGGAAUUAAUGAGGUUUUCUUUCAGACGCUUCUCAUUUAUCCACAGAAAAUCAGAGGGACAGAUGUUUUUCUCUGCUCGAAAGUAAACCUCCAGGAAGAUGACAGAAAGGAGCUGGUUGGAUGUUUGUAGCAUCCCUUUCCCAGACAUGCAGAGGGGGCUUGGACCUACUUUGGGUCUGUGAAAAGAAGGGGCAGCCAUUUGGUGCUGACUAUCCUCAUGAGCUGUUGUUCUCCUCUCUCGUUUCAAAGGAUUUCUAACCCUCAGGGACCACCUCUGACCACAUCAUUCCUCGAGAAAUGGAUGCAAGGCACGCUUAAUGUCAAUGACAUCUUAAUCAUCUGGUCUUCAAAAAGCAAAAAGGCCAAGACAAGUACUUCUGUUAGCAGGAGCAUCAUAGUAUUUGAUAAACAUGGACUGCAUGCAUCUAGUUGAGAUGCCUCUGUGCUGAACUGUGCAAUUCACAAAAUGUAAAUGGGGUGCUUAUCAGAUGGAUUAUUUUCUGAAAGCACAGGCAAAAUUACAGUAAUUACUUUUCCUCCUGCUAUAUUAUCUGUAUUCCCAAGAAACUUUAUAACUUCAUGCAGAAAAUAAAUAAAUAUUUACUUAAAA